AACCUUUCCAAUGCACGAAAGUGUGAGAAGGGAAUCCCAAGUGCUCAUGCAUUGCAUGGGCUUUUGCCAAGUGUAAGGAGCUUGGCGAAUAAGUGGUGGGCAAGACCGGUGCCAGCAGCCGCGGUAACACCGGCGCCACAAGUGGCAACCGUGUUUAUUGGGCCUAAAGCGUUCGUAGCUGGUCUGUUAAAUUUCUUGUGAAAUCGUGGUGCUUAACAUUACGGCGUGCAGGAAAGACUGGCAGACUUGGGACCGGGAGGAGUCAGGGGUAUGCUUAGGGGAGCGGUAAAAUGUUAUAAUCCUAAGUGGACCACCUGUGGCGAAGGCGCCUGACCAGAACGGAUCCGACAGUGAGGAACGAAAGCUAGGGGAGCAAAACGG
rnacentral:rRNA from 1 species